CCUCUACACACUGCUUUGAAUGUGUCCCAGAGAUUCUGCAUGGUUUCCUGUUAUGAGUUGUCCUGAAAUCCCCACAGGAGCAUGGAAGGACAUCCUAGGCUGUCCUAGCCACUUCCUUUAACCAGGCCCAGAUUGCUUCCACCAGGAAUGCUGAACCUGCAAUUGUUUGAAGAUACCAAUAUUAAGUCAGACGUGAAACUCCCUUUUGAUGCCUAUCACUAUGCUCUGACUCGCUGCACAACUUAACCUCUUGGUGACUCCAGUUCCUUGUUUGCAAGUGGAGAUGAACAGGUCUGCUGUGAGGAUUGAAUAGAAUAA
rnacentral:lncRNA from 1 species